rnacentral:tRNA from 1 species
GACCCAUUGGCUGGAUAGCUCAGUUGGUUAGAGCGUAGUGCUGACAGUGCCAAGGUUGCAGGUUCAAUCCCUGAAUGGGACA